CCAUGGUGGGCGAUUCUACAUUCACUCAAUGGCUGAGAGAAAGGAAGAAGACUCUUGCACCCGAGAGUUAAAAUCACCAACCACCUAUGCCUCUGAGCUUGAAGACAAAAGGGAUAUUUUGCUGCGACUUGAGAGUUUGAGAUGGACUCUGUUCAAUAACUCUCAAACUUUCAAGAUUAAAAUUCACUAUAUUGAAUCACCAUUGCAGGAGGCAAGAUGGGAGUUGUGCUAAAGGCCAAUAUCGACAUUCUCAAUUCUAACAGUAGCCACAUAGUAGGCAUAGGCUUGAAAAAGAUGUAUCAAAUACAAACCCUUCUCCUCAGUUUUCAGCUCCUUGAGCCAGCGAUAUGGUGAUCCUAAUUCAAGAGAUAGUGCUAUACACAGAAUGAGGGAUGAAGAAGUUUGAGAAGAUCCAUGUUCAGCUUCGGUCAUAUCCAACUGAGAACAAACUUUAUACCCAAAUAAAAUGAGUCGUUUCAUUGCCUCACAUUCGGUCCCAUGCUUUUAAUGAAAUGACUUGUUUCUGCCCCUCCUCCACGUCAGGUCAAGCGCGAGGACUUCUCAACACAUGAUUGUGUUUAUAAUUUUCCCUAAUUAAUAUACUAUGAUUUCUUAGCA